rnacentral:rRNA from 1 species
UACGAAGGGUGCAAACGUUGCUCGGAAUUAUUGGGCGUAAAGCGCACGUAGGCGGCUUAGCAAGUUGGAUGUGAAAUCCCUCGGCUCAACCAAGGAAGUGCAUCCAAAACUGCUGAGCUUGAGUACUUAAGAGGAUCGCGGAAUUCCCGGUGUAGAGGUGAAAAUUCGUAGAUAUCGGGGAGGAACACCAGUGGCGAAGGGCGGCGAUCUGGGGAAGAUACUGACGCUGAGGUGCGAAAAGCGUGGGGGAGCAAACAGG